rnacentral:rRNA from 1 species
UACAGAGGUCCCGAGCGUUGUUCGGAUUCACUGGGCGUAAAGGGCGCGUAGGCGGCGCGGUAAGUCACUUGUGAAAUCUCUGAGCUUAACUCAGAACGGCCAAGUGAUACUGCAGUGCUAGAGUGUGGAAGGGGCAAUCGGAAUUCUUGGUGUAGCGGUGAAAUGCGUAGAUAUCUGGAGGAACACCGGUGGCGAAGGCGGCUUUCUGGACAAAUACCGACGCUGAGGCACGAAAGCUAGGGGAGCAAACAGG